UCUAACAAAUAAUGUGCGCGUCGUUUUUACGAGCGAUGUGCACACGUUGAUGAGCUUUUCCGAAAAAACCAGGUUUUUUUGGUGGCGCAUAAUGAACAGCGUGGGCUUUUUCUUCGAUUCUCGUGUAGUAAAUCUUCAACGCUUGGGUUGAGAAAAAGUGCGUGCCGCGCAAUGGGUGUGGCGAAUUUUACCCCUGCCCCAAUGCCACUCUUUCCCUGCGAAAGAACAAUCUUUUAU
rnacentral:misc_RNA from 1 species